GAUUCCCCUAGUAACUUCGAGUGAAGCGGGAAAAGCUCAAAUUUAAAAUCUGGCAGUCCUUGGCUGUCCGAGUUGUAAUCUAGAGAAGUGUUAUCCGCGUUGGACCGUGUACAAGUCUCCUGGAAUGGAGCAUCACAGAGGGUGAGAAUCCCGUCUUUGACAUGGACUACCAGGGCAUUUGUGAUGCGCUCUCAAAGAGUCGAGUUGUUUGGGAAUGCAGCUCAAAAUGGGUGGUAAAUUCCAUCUAAAGCUAAAUAUUGGCGAGAGACCGAUAGCGAACAAGUACCGUGAGGGAAAGAUGAAAAGAACUUUGGAAAGAGAGUUAAACAGUACGUGAAAUUGCUGAAAGGGAAACGCUUGAAGUCAGUCGCGUUGGUUAGGGAUCAACCUUGCUAUUGCUUGGUGUAUUUCCUAGUUGACGGGUCAGCAUCAAUUUUGACUGUUGGAAAAAGGUCAAGGGAAUGUAGCAUCAUUAGAUGUGUUAUAGCCCUUGGUUGUAUACAAUGGUCGGGAUUGAGGAACUCAGCACGCCGCAAGGCCGGGUAAAACUGUUACCACGUACGUGCUUAGGAUGCUGGCAUAAUGGCUUUAAUCGACCCGUCUUGAAACACGGACCAAGGAGUCUAACAUGCCUGCGAGUGUUUGGGUGGAAAACCCGAGCGCGUAAUGAAAGUGAAAAAGUUGAGAUCCCUGUCGUAGGGAGCAUCGACGCCCGGACUUGACCUUUUGUGAUGGAUCCGCGGUAGAGCAUGUAUGUUGGGACCCGAAAGAUGGUGAACUAUGCCUGAAUAGGGUGAAGCCAGAGGAAACUCUGGUGGAGGCUCGUAGCGAUUCUGACGUGCAAAUCGAUCGUCAAAUUUGGGUAUAGGG
rnacentral:rRNA from 1 species